UACGUAGGGUCCGAGCGUUGUCCGGAAUUACUGGGCGUAAAGAGCUCGUAGGUGGUUUGUCGCGUUGUUCGUGAAAUCUCACGGCUUAACUGUGAGCGUGCGGGCGAUACGGGCAGACUAGAGUACUGCAGGGGAGACUGGAAUUCCUGGUGUAGCGGUGGAAUGCGCAGAUAUCAGGAGGAACACCGGUGGCGAAGGCGGGUCUCUGGGCAGUAACUGACGCUGAGGAGCGAAAGCGUGGGGGAGCGAACAGG
rnacentral:rRNA from 1 species